CUUCAAUCGGCCAUGUGCAGUUCUUGGUUAUCUGUGGACGUCUUUUACUUUAGUUGUGAUUAUUGCCACAGUGCUGUACAUGUGUGGACAUGGCAAGACCUAAACCAGCACCAUGGAGCUUGUCUGUGGAUUUCUACACGGGGCAAGUGACUGCAGUGUGUGUCUACAACUCGCAUGUUUUGGCAGGUGUUGGUGGCAACAUUGAAGUAUUUGAUGUUUCCAAGUCAAACACAGUUUAUUCUCUCUACGCCUUUCCUUGUCGUAACAUCCAUGGUAUAAAGAAAGAACCAGAGUCUGACGUGUUCUGCAUCUGGGGCGAGAAGUGUUUCAGAUUGUUCAAGUUUAUCACAGAGGACUGCAUGGUUAGUUUGCAGUUGCUUAAUGACAUCAUUCAGGUGGAAGACUGGAUCUGGGACGUGCACUGGCUGAGAGAGAGUGAAGACUCUCACAGUCUUGCCUUAGCCUUGGGUCACAACGUCGUCUUACACUGGGACCUCGUCACACAGACUCAGCUGCACAGAGAAGAGUGUGUGGAGAAAUGUAUACUUUACUGUGCUCAUUUCAUUGGACGCCGGUGGUCCUGUCUGACUUUAGCAGCCGGGACUGUCUUCAAUCAGGUUGUAUUCUGGACGAUGUGUGGACACACUACAGCUGACAACAAACAGGAAGUUGUCCACCGCUUGUCAGGUCAUGAUGGUGUAAUAUUUGGAAUAGACUAUCACCCACAGCGGAGAAUGAUAUCAUCUGUUUCAGACGAUCGCAGCAUUCGUCUUUGGCAGCUCACAUUUCCAUCGGAACGCGGAGAACCAACAGCAGAAGACUGGCGGGGGGUCAGUUCAUCACCAAUGGCAACACUCUAUGGCCACUCUGCUCGAGUCUGGGACAUCAGGUUGCUGAAAAACUGCUUUGUCAGUAUUGGAGAGGAUGCAACUUGUUGUGUUUGGGAUUACCAGUGGCAGAUAACUCAGAAGUUGAAAGGACACAAGGGUAAAAGUAUCUGGAGUUUGGCCACAAGUGUUGAUGACAAGUUUGUGGUAACUGGUGGUGGUGAUGGCAGUAUACGCUUGUGGGAGCUGGACUCGGAAUCAGCACAGAACGGUUUGAUAGGAUCCAGUCUUGUAAUUCCAGAAAACAUUAAAGGAAGUACAGAUGACCACCCACGGAUUGUAGCAUUGCUGAAUUUCAACACCAUUCUCAUCAUGACCAUGGAAGGAAUCCUGUGCAGCUACUUUAUCACCGAGGAAACAUGGCACCAAGUGUUCCGUGAUGAAGAUUUUCGAUCCUACAGUCUUCUUGCUGUGUGUCGCAGUACAGCAGUCGUAGCACUCGGCAGCAUUACAGGAACACUGAAAAUACUGACACAGAGACCACAUUUUGAAAGAAGCCUCAUUAUUCUGUACCAUGAGAAGAUCUUUCCAGGAAAAAUCUUUGGACUGUGCUGGUUGAACGAAUGUCACUUGUUAAUCACUGGGCCUGAUGGUGUAAUGGUUCUAAUGAAGAUGCACCAAUCAGCUGACACGUCAGUGCACCUGGAGUCUCUGGGCACGUUGUUCCUGCCAGCUUGUAAGCAGCGCUGGGUGUCAGCCGGCUUAGCCAUGUGGUCAGAUGGUCUGCUGGUGUGUGGUGACAAGGGGGGUACAGUUCACUGCUACAGUCUCCAGCCAGAACAGCUGACACCUCUAAAGCCUCCUGACUGUAGUUUUCCAAAAAUACAUGGAAAGUGUGGUGUCACUGAUGUCUGUCGUCAUGGUAACUAUGUUUUGACAGCAGGACGAGAUGGUCAUUAUCGUACCUGGAAGGUUGUUGAAGGAAAACUCCAACUGCUCAACAGCAAUAAGGUUAUGAAAGGCAUGGAAUGGAUCGAUGGACUUCAAAUUACUGAAGACGAUUUACUGGUCUACGGUUUUCAUUCGGCCUAUUUUACUGUGUGGAGUGUUAAGAAGAAUGAGAAGGUCAUAGAGGUGGAGUGUGGCGGAGGUCAUAGGUCAUGGGACUGUUUGAUUGAUAACUCACUCGCACGGUUUGUCUACCUCAAGUCAAAAGACGUGAUCUUGUUCGAGAAAAAACUCACUUCAAGCCAACGUAUCUUGAAGCCUGCUUUUCAUGGCAGAGCACUCUGUGAUGUCAAAUAUAUCGCAACGCUGACUGAUUCUACAGGUGUUCCUGUCUAUUUGAUGGCAACUUGUAGUGAGGAUACUACUAUCAACAUUGUUUCAGUUGCCUAUAACAAUGGCAUUCCAGAGCUCCGUGUUGAUCACACAUUACAGGGCCAUCUGUCUAGUGUUCGAGCUCUUUGUCUGAGUACAUCCUGCAGAAAGGAAUCAGACACUCGUGACUCGCAGUCAUCAGUACAUUCAGUAACAUGUGGAGAUGAUCAGUCUUAUGGACAGAAGAUCAUGUUUUCUGGUGGCGGACGUGCACAGAUCCAAGUCUGGUGCGUCCACUUCCGGACUGGAUGUGCGUCACUUGACAGCAUUGCCAACAGUAAUUAUACAGAUCGUCUGUUCAAAACUCCACAUUUCGACGACUCCAGUUCUUGUAUAGACGAGAAGACGUCAAUGGCUUCUCCUGCUGAACGUUACAGUUCACAGAAUGAUGUUAUUAAUUCUUUGUUGUCGGUGAAGUCGGAGGAGGAAUUCAGUCACGGUGAUGCUCACAACAAGACUAGUUCACUGAGUGACUGUGGACCUUCUGACAUGACCCCUGAUAGAACAACCACACACUCUGAUGAUCCAUCACCAACACUGUUAGGACAGUCACAGGUUUGUGGCAGCACAGAAGGUGAUGAUGUUGAAGCUCUAGUGAAGGUGCCUGAAAGGACUUUUUCAUUCUGUGACAGUGUUUCACCAACAGAAAUACAGGAACCAGAAAUUGAUAGCAAUGUUCCUGAUCAAACUAUUUCACAGGGUACAAGAACUUCACUUAAAAGUUCGACAUUAACAACACUGAAAGGACAUGGUCAUCACCAUGGAGAUAUCCACACGAAGUCACAUGAUGCUGGUGGUUGUUUGUAUGAACAUUUGGCAAACUGUUUCUUGGGGGAUCAGAGACACAGCAGAGGGAACAAGCCGUGGAAGGUGAUGUUUUCUAAAGCAGACCCAGAAACCAGAAUACUGGAUCUCACUGCCUUCUCUGCUGAUGACAUUCACAGAGGCAACCAUCUGGGCUUACACUUUGUGGCAGCUGCAUGUUCUGAUGGGUUUGUCAGAUUUUUGGGGUUUAAUGAAUCCUCCAGAUCUCUAAGCCUUUUGCAACAGUCUGGUUACCAUGGAAGCUGUGUUUUAAAAGUUCAUCACUUUCCUGUUCGACACGGCCAAGACCAUUCCACCAAGAUGCUGUUGUUGUCUGCAGCAACAGAUGGCCGAGUUGCCAUUUGGGACGUCACUUCCCUCUGUGAUGGUUACAUCCAUCACGUGAAUGUGAGACACGACCAGGAGGAACACAUUGCUGGUGGUCCUGAUAACAGCCUUGGACCUGGUCGUCACUCCACGAGGAACAAGUCUAGAGUGACCCAGCACCCAGACCGAUCCGUGCAGAUCUCGGUCAAUCCAGCCGGCACUCACUUGGUGGGUGAAGAUUUCACUCCAGUACAUGUGUUGAAGAGUCACCAGUCGGGAGUGAACAGUCUGCAUGUGCGGGAGUUGAAAAGUAGACAACCGGUAUAUGAUUUGCAGUGGUGGAGAUGACAACUGUCUGUCUGUAUGUGUGGUGACAGUCACUGGUGUUGAUGGGCUGCUCGUUACCAUGACAACUGAUCAAGUGUGUUGGAAACCCAGUGCUCACGCAGCUCAGAUUACAGGCACGUGGAUAGUUAGUGACGACCACAUAGUUACUGUGUCAAUAGACCAGCGUGUCUGUGUCUGGAGAGUGAUCACAGAGACUGGGAAAUCAUUGCAG
rnacentral:misc_RNA from 1 species